GUUUUUACAGUUUACACAGCCCUGCGUGUGUAAAUGGAAAAGAAACAGAAAGGAGUGCACAAGCCACAAAACACUAUUCCAGCCAAUCAGCAACAAGUGGGG